AUCAUCCUAAAAAUAUUCAAUGAUUUUUUAUUUAAUAAAAAUAUAGGCCCGCGGUAUACCGCGGGUUAAUAUCUAGUUAAGUUGUAUUUGUUUUGUUAAUAUUAUUUGUUUUGUUUAGUAUUUAAGAUUUUAAAAUAAUAUGUUCAGAGUAGUAGAAAAAUCUGAGAUUUAGGGAUUGAAGAUUGAUUUGGGAAUUUUUUCCGAUUAGGGGAUUUAUUAAGUUUAAAACGUGGUCUUUUUGGUCAAUUAAAGAAAGCUGAUAACGGUGGAUAACGUCGGUUAAUAGGUCUGUUAAACGAUUUAACGACAUGUCUAAUUGGACCUGGUCAACGGAAAGAUAAUGUUUUAAAUAUUGGUCAACGAUAAGUUGAUGUUUUAAAUAGCCUAUUAUGAAGUUGACAUAUUAAAUGACCAUUUUUUGAAAGUUGGGGUAUUAAACGAUAUUUUUCUCGAUAUAUAACCAACAGAAGAAUCGACGAGUUUUCAUUGAGUAAACUCAACCUAAAAGCUAAGUAAAAUCAACAAGCAUUGAUCAACUCCAUUUGUACAGAAUUAGAGACUUCUUUAUAACUAAGUUUCAUGUUCAAAAGAGAGUAAGGCAAGAGGGAAAGAAGACUUACAUCAUAUUUAAGUGGAAUAUCCUUUAUUGAAGCUUGGGAAGUGGAUGCCGUAAUAUUCACUCCGGUUCUUUUAUAGGAACCAAAAAGCUGAACCAUCUUCUUUCAGAUAUGAGCCAAGUUUGAUUUGAUGGUUUAUGGAUCAAGAAUAUUAUAACAAUAUUCUAGAAAUGCGAAUUUCCGUCUCGGAUCAAGUACUACAAUAAUUGCAAGAAUGUCGCUAAAUCUUCCUAAUACUUAUCAUAUAUCUCGGUCAUAUCCUCUACCAUUUUACGAAUAAUCCUAUCACUAAAAGCGUCAUGAUCUCUUAGCCAGUAUUUAGUCGCCUACACUUGCAUAAAAUAUGUUUGUUAUUGGAUAAACGAACUAGAAAUAAGUUUUGUAAUUUCAGCAAACGGUUUCAAGAAGUCACAUAUAAACAGUGUCUAAUGAACUCACCUAAUCACCUGCCACAAAUAUUUUUAAAUCCUUUCAGAUUCCAUUCUACCAAUAUAUGAAAUUAUGAAUUAAACAAUAUCUGCUAAAUUAAAAGUCACCUGAAUAAUGGCACAAUAGAUCAUAUGGCACAAUAAAUGAACCAUUGUCACCUAAACUCUUAAAACUUCCCAGUUUAUGUAGUCUGCAGUUAAACCAAACUAUACCAAAACAACAUUGAUCAAAAGAUAAAAAUCAAAGCAAGAAUUUACCAAAACAAAU
rnacentral:sRNA from 1 species